GCCAAGAUGGCUCAGUCGGUAGCGCGGCGCACUCGUAAUGCGCAGGUCGGGAGUUCGAUUCUCCCUCUUGGCU
rnacentral:tRNA from 1 species